GACGAACGCUGGCGGCGUGCUUAACACAUGCAAGUCGAACGGGCCUUGUCCCCUUUUUUUUUGGGGGUGGGGUUAGUGGCGAACGGGUGAGUAACACGUGAGUAACCUGCCCCUCACUUCUGGAUAACCGCUUGAAAGGGUGGCUAAUACGGGGUGUUCUGGCCUGCUCGCAUGGGUGGGUUUGGAAAGAUUCGACCGGUUUUGGUUGUUUUGGUGGGGGAUGGGCUCGCGGCCUAUCAGCUUGCUGGUGGGGUGAUGGCCUGCCAAGGCUUUGACGGGUAGCCGGCCUGAGAGGGUGGGCGGUCACACUGGGACUGAGACACGGCCCAGACUCCUACGGGAGGCAGCAGUGGGGAAUAUUGCACAAUGGGCGCAAGCCUGAUGCAGCGACGCCGCGUGAGGGAUGGAGGCCUUCGGGUUGUGAACCUCUUUCGCCAGUGAAGAAGGUCCUGCUCUUUGUGGUGGGGUUGACGGUAGCGGGGUUAAUGAAGCGCCGGCUAACUACGUG
rnacentral:rRNA from 1 species